CUGGCUCAGGAUGAACGCUAGCGGCAGGCUUAACACAUGCAAGUCGAGGGGCAUCGGGAGUAGCAAUACUGCCGGCGACCGGCGCAAGGGUGCGUAACGCGUGAGCAACAUGCCCGUAUCAGGGGGAUAAUCCAUGGAAACGUGGUCUAAUACCCCAUAGUAAUUAUGUAAGGCAUCUUAUAUAAUUUAAAGCUUUGGUGGAUACGGAUUGGCUCGCGUGACAUUAGCUGGAUGGUAAGGUAACGGCUUACCAUGGCUACGAUGUCUAGGGGUUCUGAGAGGAAGGUCCCCCACACUGGAACUGAGACACGGUCCAGACUCCUACGGGAGGCAGCAGCUAAGAAUAUUCCGCAAUGGACGAAAGUCUGACGGAGCGACGCCGCCGUGGAUGAAGAAGGCCGGAAGGUUGUAAAAUCCUUUUGAAACUGAAGAAUAAGCGUUGUAGGGAAUGACAGCGUGGUGACAGUAGGUUUUGAAUAAGCAACGGCUAAUUACGUGCCAGCCGCGGC
rnacentral:rRNA from 1 species